GUAACUAGUAACACACUGUUUUUGCUUUGAAAACCUAGCCAUCAUACAUCCUUUGGAUUUCUUCACAAGGCAGUAAUUCCUUUGGACUGUUGCUCAAUAUUAGGUAAUGCUAUAAGACAUGUUCCCAUGGCAUUCACAUUAUACUUUUCAGUGUGUUCAAACUGUUUACAAGGAGAUGGUUAUAGGGUGCAGUUUUAUGGUACAUAUAAAAAAUCCCACUUACAAUGGUAAGAAGUUGAAGCAUACUUAAGGGCCAUGAAACAAAAUGCCCUUAAAGCUUGUGUAGCAAAUGCUUUCUAAUUUUGUCCUUAUUUAUGCACACUAUAUUACUAAUAACCAAAAAUGUUCUAUCACAAAAUCCUGCCAUUUUACAAUCCUAGAGAAAGUAUUUUACAGACUCCUGCUGAGAGAUAUAUCCCUUCCUUCCCAUGCUAAUACAGUUUCUUUCUCAUGGACAACACUUAAGGUAGGCUAAAGAAACUGAGGGAAGAGAAGGAGCUAAGGCCUAGACCUAAACUAACAAAGGUUGACUGCUUGUCAUUUUCAGAUACAAUUGGAUUUAUUCAUGAGUUUGUACAACUUUAAAGACCGUGACAUUUUUAUGAAUAAACUCUGUAUUUACCGAGUUUCAAAUAUUCAGAAAAAUCUACCCCACAGGCUGGUGCCAAAAUGUCUGAAUAGAGUGAGAAUAAUAUUCCAUUAUAAGAUCAUCCACUUUACUAGAGUAAGGAAACUUUUGUUUAUGAAAGUCCUUUUUCCCUUCAGUUGAUGAUGAACUAGAUACAUUGCUUAUGAACUAAAGAUAUUUCAGAAAAUCUGGUAUAUCUUUUUCUCAUACUUGGAAUAGAAGUGCCCACAUCUUACAAUGUAGUUUUUUAGUUUCCAUGCCAAGAAAUUUAGGACAGUGCAACAUUUUAUUUGCCUUAAAAAACAAAAACAAAAACAAAAAGAAACAAAGAAAAAGCACUGAUUUCAAAUCAGACUCACAAGAAGCUGUAACCUUAGACCUAAUACUUUAUUAUGAUUUUUUUUCAAAAUAUUUUUCUUUGAUUUUUCAUAUGAACACUUUUCCCUUAUAGAAACCACACCUAAAUUCCAAGUACCUCAUAUUUCUUUCUAGUUUGAGAUGAAGUGAACAUUUUUAUCAAAUUAUGCAUCACAAAUAGGUUUCCUCAGUUUUAAAAAAGGAUUAUUUUCAGAGACCAAAAUAUGGACAGUAAAAAUGACUGUCACAUAAAAAUCUUCACCGAAAAAAGAUCUUAAAUUCUUUUGGCUCUUCCUCAAAACUGUCAAAUUGGAAAAUGAAAUUAAAUCUCUGGUUCCUGCGGGCUCCUGGACCUUGGUAGAUAUUCUGCUUUCCAAGCGCAAACCUUCCUUUACUACUGUUCUCAUAAGAAGAAAAGGUAGGACUUCUCGUCGUCCGUGGUUUAAGGGCCUGAUGGGUCACCGACAUGGACAGAGGAAAAAGCCCUUAAAGAGCACAUCAUCUGGGCUCAGAAGAUUAUUUUUUGUUUUUAGCUAGUUGAGAGUACUUAUUUUCUCCUGUUUCUUUCCUUCCUUCUUUAUUCUCUCAGAAUUUCCAGGUUAGUAAUUAUAAAGGGCUCACUCUUUUUAAUCUUUAAGAAUGCCUUCUUCACUAAGCAUUAACAUUUCCAUUUAAGAAGAUCAAUUGCCCGGUGUGCUUUUCCUAAUGAGACUUAACAGGCAGAUAGGGUCGUUGUCCCAUAUACUGGAAAAGGAAAGAAGAGAGGGAAAUGGAUCUUACUGGACAGUGGCAUUGUUGGAACAUCAUUAGGCGUUGCCCUUCCGGGCCCCGUCCACCCCCACAGUGUUCCGAGGGAGGGCAUUCAUUCUCUGAUCCAUCACUCAGGCUGACUGUGCUGCCUGUGGCCUGUGUUAACAGGAGCUCCAGCAGUAGCGGAUGCGAAAGGCCAGUGUGUGUUUAAGAAUUUACCCAUUUAAAUGAGUACCCAUGCCUUUUCCUUGCGCUGCAGUAAUUAAUCAUAUGAUGUGCCGCUGGGAUACACUGGACUCAGGAGAAAAGAGAUCACUUGCCUGCCACUUCCUCACGGCUCAUGUGCAAGAUGGAGACUCUACUGGACAGGAGAGGCAAGACAUAAAGAUUAGGAUUUCACACUCCCACCUCCCCAUUUUUAUUGAUUGGUCAGAGCUUGAAGGCAGUUGUUAAUAGACUUAAAAUCAUGUUUCUACAUUUCUCUCAAUAAUUGGGUCACCUGCUUCCCUUGGAAAUGAAUAGACCAAAGUCAAUAGCUAAUUUUCCCCUCAGAACCAUAAAUUAGACAGUAGUACUAGUUUAGGGGAUAUUAGGCCUGUAUCACAAACUCACUUUAAGGAAAUGAUUUGCCAAUUUUGAAGCUUCCCAGUAGGCCAUCUCAGACACCCAUUUUCUCAGUAAACUUUCACUGAGAAACAGUUACGUACAGUGAAGGAGUCAGAGAUGAAUUAAGCCCAGUGCUAUAUCCUCUGAGAAUGAACUUUUUAGUUGGAGAGAAAAAAACGUGUGUAUACACGGCCUGUGCCAAAUCUAAGCGAGGGAUUAAGUCCUCUAGGGAUGGCAAGAAGGAAAAGCUCCCGUCUGCCUAGAAUGAUGAUUGAGGAAAGCAUGGGAACCUAGGCUGGAUUUGAAGGUUGGGGACAAUCUUUGCAGGGAGGAAGGAGGAAGGGGCCAGGUCUGGCUGAGAAAUCUACAGAGUGGAAAAAUUCCAGGCAAAGUGGUGAAGGGGCAAUACCGGUAUGAAAGGCCAAACUCUGCAGGGAAGUGUCACUAAGUCUGCAGAAAGAGGCUUGGAUCUUGUGCAAAAUUUAAUUAGAACUUCUCACUCCUUUCUUAUUCUGGGUAGAUAAGUGUGCAGCAUUUCCUCAGAGCAUCUAGCCCUCUGUGAUCUCCUACAUGGAGAUUGAUCAGCUAAUUUGGUACAUCCCUAAGUAGAAUAAAAAAAAUCACCCAACACAUCGAAGACGUUUUUUUCAAGUCACUAGUUGAAGCAAAGCCUCUGUCACUAAAAGCAAAAACCGUGCUGGCUAGGUCUCCACUAACAAAGCAGAGUAGACAAUGAUGGUGAUUUCUGAGAAAGCUUUGCAAAACUCCAGUAUCGGAAUAACUCUGUGGCUAGCAAAUUGCCUAACUACUCACCAAAGUUUUGCCAGUAGAGGCCCACGUCAAGGUUCCUUCUGCCAUAGUAACCUUCACCUUUAAAUGAUUAGACCCAAAAGGGCGAUCCCCACAGAGAUAGAAUCACACCUUAAAGUUUAGACUUCGAGAUGACUUGUAUAAAAAAGCUUAGUCCCAGACAACAAAAUGUGAAAUUUUCAGAACUGCUUUCCUCAAACAUCAGGCUGGUCCUGGCAAGGCCUUUCUUCUACCUCUCCCUCCCUUUUGCCUCUUUACACACCCUUCUAUAAGUCCCUUUUUAUAUCACUCAUCGCAGGCAACAUUUUACAUCCAUCUUCAAGAAACUUACUUUUAAAUGUUUACCAACUAGAGUUAGACUACAGUAUAUACACUUUUAGUAGCCUUGCCCACUUUGCUGUCUCAGAUAAUGUCUGUGAGUAGUGAAUGGCUGCAUUACUUCUCAGGACAAAUGAAAUGACAAAGGAUGGGACAAAGAAGGGACAAAGGUAGACUGUCAUCUGAGUGAUAGAAAAGAAGCAAAGACAGAUACUGUGAGUAUACAGGAAAUACAAUUUAGCAGUCAUUGAGAAAGGAAUACUUCCUACCAGGGUUUUUCAGGCUUGUGACAUGAGCUGGUAGGUCUUUUUUAGUUUGACCUACAGGAAAAAUUUGUAUUCCUGGGUUGUUGAACGUUUGCUAGACUAAAGGGACAUAAACUCAGAGCAGCAUGGAAGAUUAGGUUCAUGGAAUACUGUUACAUACAGGAAAACUACAUCUCCAAUAGACUGCCAGCCAUUAGCCAAAAACAGGUGCAUGUAGGAUCUGGGGGACAAAGAAAAAGUAUAAAUAUUUCAGUUUACACAGCCAAGAUCACAGGCUAUCUUCCCAAUGUCUGACCGAAAAGUACUGAAAAAGGAGCUGUGAAGAUUUCAUUUCUAAUCUGUCAAAAUGGUGCUAUUGACUCCUUCAUACAGAGAUAUAUUAUAAUAUUUUUUAGGUAAACAUGUAAGCUGACCUAGGCCAUAAUGUAAAUACAGAAGAUGUUUGUAGAGAAUUCAUCCAAAUCAUGCCCAUUUGCUUUUGAUUGAGCUGCUCUAUUCUUCAAUGGCAGUGACUGACCGGAGUCCCUGCUUCCCACAGAUGGGACACAGAGUCCUUGGCUGUCUCAGCUGCCCCAAACCUGGGGCAGACAACAUGACAGCCAUAGACAGCUGUUGCUUCUUGGACUCAGGUUGGAUAGCCUGAUUAAAUGACUAAACAUGCUCAUUUUUUGGUGUUUCCUGGGAACAUAAAAGAAGAACGUGUGACAUGUGGCAAAAUGGAUGUUGGUAGACUAUUGAAAUUGACCUCAGUGAGGGCCAAUGUUACUUUGUGUUAGUACACCCGGAUGUGUCAGAGCAUGCCAAAAGAAGCAUAUACCUUACUGCUGCGAAAUCUGUAAAGCGAUCUGCAUGUACAGUAUGAUAAUAAAUCAUCUAAGAGCCCGCCAAAA